AUGUCAUUUAAGAAAUUAAUCGCUCUAUAAUAUGUUUACUGAACUGGUUUAAUUAUCUCUAAUCUGUGUUUGUACAGGAACUGCAUUCACAGACACAGAGUGCUCUGACUGCAGCAGUGGAACAUUUUCAGAUGGGACAUUUACGUCCUGUCAGCCGCACACACAAUGUGAAUCAAUAAAUCUGCAGCUGCUGAAAGCAGGAACUGCUUCAACUGAUGCUGAAUGUGGAGAACAAA